UACGUAGGUGGCGGAGCGUUGUCCGGAUUUAUUGGGUUUAAAGGGUGCGUAGGCGGUCCUAUAAGUCAGUGGUGAAAUAUCGCAGCUCAACUGUGAGGGUGCCAUUGAUACUGUAGGACUUGAGUGAAUUUGAGGUAGCGGAAUUGACGGUGUAAGCGGUGAAAUGCUUAGAUAAUCGUCAAGAACACCGAUAGUGAAGACAGCUUACCAAGCUUCAACUGACGCUGAGGCACGAAAAGUGUGGGGAGUCAAACAGG
rnacentral:rRNA from 1 species